rnacentral:rRNA from 1 species
AGAGUUUGAUCAUGGCUCAGAUUGAACGCUGGCGGCAUGCCUAACACAUGCAAGUCGAACGGCAGCGCGGGGAGCUUGCUCCCUGGCGGCGAGUGGCGGACGGGUGAGUAAUGCAUAGGAAUCUGCCCAGUAGCGGGGGACAACUCCAGGAAACCGGAGCUAAUACCGCAUACGCCCUACGGGGGAAAGCAGGGGAUCUUCGGACCUUGCACUAUUGGAUGAGCCUAUGUCUGAUUAGCUUGUUGGUAGGGUAAAAGCCUACCAAGGCGACGAUCAGUAGCUGGUCUGAGAGGAUGAUCAGCCACACUGGGACUGAGACACGGCCCAGACUCCUACGGGAGGCAGCAGUGGGGAAUAUUGGACAAUGGGGGCAACCCUGAUCCAGCAAUGCCGCGUGUGUGAAGAAGGCCUGCGGGUUGUAAAGCACUUUCAGUAGGGAGGAAAAGUUGCAGGUUAAUACCCUGUAAUCCUGACGUUACCUACAGAAGAAGCACCGGCUAACUCCGUGCCAGCAGCCGCGGUAAUACGGAGGGUGCGAGCGUUAAUCGGAAUUACUGGGCGUAAAGCGCGCGUAGGCGGCUUUGUAAGUCGGAUGUGAAAGCCCCGGGCUUAACCUGGGAAUUGCAUUCGAUACUGCAUGGCUGGAGUAUGGUAGAGGGUAGUGGAAUUCCUGGUGUAGCGGCGAAAUGCGUAGAUAUCAGGAGGAACAUCAGUGGCGAAGGCGGCUACCUGGACCAAUACUGACGCUGAGGUGCGAAAGCGUGGGGAGAAACAGGAUUAGAUACCCUAGUAGUCC